rnacentral:sRNA from 1 species
CGCAAAAUGAAUCGGCUCUCAAGGGCGGUCGCUCAUCUCCGGAGGGAGGUGAGAGAGAUGACGGUAUACGAGUCUUUGUCCAUCAUGGUUAGCUUCGGGAACUUUCUGAUUGCCUUCAUGAUGUGCAUCCUCACCUGUUUUCUCGUCUUUCUAAACAGAAAGAAAUAAGACCCCCUUGGGCAGCAACCGAGCUGGGGUCUUAUCUCUUUACUCGAAUGAGAGAUGAGCCUAGCCCAAAGGGCUGACUGUUUUGUGCGGAACGACCGUGAGUGUUGGCGCACUCGCGG